CGCAAGGAUGCUGGCGUAAUGGUCAUCAGCGACCCGUCUUGAAACACGGACCAAGGAGUCAACCUUAUGUGCGAGUGUUUGGGUGUUAAACCCCUACGCGUAAUGAAAGUGAACGCAGGUGAGAGCUUCGGCGCAUCAUCGACCGAUCCUGAUGUUCUCGGAUGGAUUUGAGUAAGAGCAUAUAGGGUUGGACCCGAAAGAAGGUGAACUAUGCGUGUAUAGGGUGAAGCCAGAGGAAACUCUGGUGGAGGCUCGCAGCGGUUCUGACGUGCAAAUCGAUCGUCAAAUAUGCGCAUGGGGGCGAAAGACUAAUCGAACCUUCUAGUAGCUGGUUUCCGCCGAAGUUUCCCUCAGGAUAGCAGUGUUGAACUCAGUUUUAUGAGGUAAAGCGAAUGAUUAGGGACUCGGGGGCGCUAUAUAGCCUUCAUCCAUUCUCAAACUUUAAAUAUGUAAGAAGCCCUUGUUACUUUAUUGAACGUGGGCAUUCGAAUGUAUCAACACUAGUGGGCCAUUUUUGGUAAGCAGAACUGGCGAUGCGGGAUGAACCGAACGCGAGGUUAAGGUGCCAGAGUAGUCGCUCAUCAGACACCACAAAAGGUGUUAGUACAUCUUGACAGCAGGACGGUGGCCAUGGAAGUCGGAAUCCGCUAAGGACUGUGUAACAACUCACCUGCCGAAUGUACUAGCCCUGAAAAUGGAUGGCGCUCAAGCGACUCACCCAUACCUCGCCCUCAGUGUAGAAACGAUGCGCUGAGGAGUAGGCGGACGUGGAGGUCAGUGACGAAGCCUAGGGCGUGAGCCCGGGUAGAACGGCCUCUAGUGCAGAUCUUGGUGGUAGUAGCAAAUACUUCAAUGAGAACUUGAAGGACCGAAGUGGGGAAAGGUUCCAUGUGAACAGCGGUUGGACAUGGGUUAGUCGAUCCUAAGCCAUAGGGAAGUUCCGUUUCAAAGGGGCACUUGUGCCCCGUAUGGCGAAAGGGAAGCCGGUCAAUAUUCCGGCACCUGGAUGUGGGUUUUGCGCGGCAACGCAACUGAACGCGGAGACGACGGCGGGGGCCCCGGGCAGAGUUCUCUUUUCUUCUUAACGGUCUAUCACCCUGAAAUCGGUUUGUCCGGAGCUAGGGUUUAACGGCCGGAAGAGCCCAGCACUUCUGUUGGGUCCGGUGCGCUCUCGACGUCCCUUGAAAAUCCGCGGGAAGGAAUAAUUCUCACGCCAGGUCGUACUCAUAACCGCAGCAGGUCUCCAAGGUGAACAGCCUCUGGUUGAUAGAACAAUGUAGAUAAGGGAAGUCGGCAAAACAGAUCCGUAACUUCGGGAUAAGGAUUGGCUCUAAGGGUUGGGUACGUUGGGCUUUAGGCGGACGGC
rnacentral:ncRNA from 1 species